rnacentral:misc_RNA from 1 species
AGAGCAGGUUAUUCUGACUAGACGUAAAAUUGCACACUCUCAUCCUGUAAUUAAAUAUGAGCUAAAUAUAUUGGAUAAAAGCCCAGCUCUUCUUCUUAGUGGGAAAAAGCAAGAUAUUCUCAUCAGACCUAGAAUUACACACGCUAAACUUGCACACUGUCAUCUUAUAACUAAAAGUAAGUCAAACAUGUUUGAUAAGAGAACAGCACUACUUUGUAAUAGGAAAGAGCAGAUUAUUCUCACUAGAUUUACUAUUGAUCACGCUAAAUUUGCAUACUCUCAUCCUGUAACUAAAAAUGACCAAAAUAUAUUGGAUAAAAGAACAACAUUUGUUCUUAAUAGGAAAGGACAAGUUAUUCUCAUCAGAUUUAAAAUUACACACACUAGACUUGCAAGUUUCCAUCUUAUAACUAAGAACUAGCCAAUCAUUUCUGAUAAAAGAGCAACAUUUUUAGGUAAGAGCAAAUUAUUCUCAUUAGACUUACAAUUGCACACUUUCAUCUUAU